rnacentral:lncRNA from 1 species
UUGGUGUAGAAACAAGGGCCAUAAACCAGGCUAUAACCAAAGAUUUUCCAAAACAUAAUACAUUUACUCCUAAAUUGAAAUAGGAUAGAACAAUGUCAAAUUAUAUCCGGUGAUGCCAGCCACCCAGUUUAUUCCAACGCCAAGACUGAUAAUAAUAUUGAUCUCACCCUUUCCAAUAGAUAGAUGUACACAGCCUCUAACCAAAAGAGUAAUGACAUUUAGUAGUGAGAUUAC